UACGUAGGGGGCUAGCGUUGUCCGGAUUUAUUGGGCGUAAAGAGCGUGUAGGCGGCCAGGUAGGUCUGGUGUGAAAACUCGAGGCUUAACCUCGAGAUGUCAUCGGAAACCAUCUGGCUAGAGUCCGGAAGAGGAAAGUGGAAUUCCUGGUGUAGCGGUGAAAUGCGCAGAUAUCAGGAAGAACACCCGUGGCGAAGGCGGCUCUCUGGGACGGUACUGACGCUGAGACGCGAAAGCGUGGGGAGCGAACAGG
rnacentral:rRNA from 1 species